rnacentral:rRNA from 1 species
AUCUUGCGCAAUGGCCUAACGGCUGACGCAGCGACGCCGCGUGUGGGAUGACGCCCUUCGGGGUGUAAACCACUGUUGCCCGGGACGAAGAGCGGACUUUAGUCCGCCUGACGGUACCGGGUGAGGAAGCACCGGCUAACUCCGUGCCAGCAGCCGCGGUAAUACGGAGGGUGCGAGCGUUGUCCGGAAUCACUGGGCGUAAAGGGCGCGUAGGCGGCUCGUUAAGGGUGCGGUGAAAGCCCGGGGCUUAACCCCGGGUCGGCCGUGCCGACUGAUGAGCUCGAGCACUGUAGAGGCAGGUGGAAUUCCGGGUGUAGCGGUGGAAUGCGUAGAGAUCCGGAAGAACACCAGUGGCGAAGGCGGCCUGCUGGGCAGUGGCUGACGCUGAGGCGCGACAGCGUGGGGAGCAAAC